GACAGAACAAGGCCCUGUCUCAAAAAACAAAAUAUACUAAGCACUGAGCUCCACGAGGUUGUCAAUAUCCUCAAGAGGCUUUAGCUUUGUAUGAGCUCCAUUCUGAGAACCUGGGAGGGUUGAGUCUGUGCCAAUAUCCUGCUGUGCUGCAGGACGGAGUCAAGCCUUGACCUUUUGGGUCACCACCAGAAUAAAGUUGCGGAUAGAAAAUGUAAAAAUGUAGUGAGAGAGUGGAAGAAGGAAGAUCAGAGGGGAAAAAAGGACCUCCAGCUUCAAUCUGAGACAAUUUUACAAGAAACGUAAUGAAGGCUAUGCACCACACUCAAGUGCAUUCCAGAUCAGGGGCUGGCAAACCGUGACCCACCCCAGUACCUAACGUUUGAUGGGAAGACAGCCACAGUCAGUUUCUUGUUAUCUAUGAUGCUUUUGUGCUUCAGAUGUAGAGCUGAGCAGUUAUGAUACAUACCAUAUGGCCCAAAAGUUAAAACUAUUUACUAUCUGGUCCUUUACAGAAAAAGUUUACCAACCUCUGGUUU